CGCGCUUUGGCCUAACUGGUUACGCUUUUGUCUUUCAGCCGAAGGGUCGCGGGUUCGAUUCCCCCGGGGUGG